AUUGAACGCUGGCGGCAUGCCUUACACAUGCAAGUCGAACGGCAGCACGGGAGCAAUCCUGGUGGCGAGUGGCGAACGGGUGAGUAAUAUAUCGGAACGUGCCCAGUCGUGGGGAUAACGUAGCGAAAGCUACGCUAAUACCGCAUACGAUCUAUGGAUGAAAGCGGGGGAUCGCAAGACCUCGCGCGAUUGGAGCGGCCGAUAUCAGAUUAGGUAGUUUGGUGAGGUAAAGGCUCACCAAGCCGACGAUCUGUAGCUGGUCUGAGAGGACGACCAGCCACACUGGGACUGAGACACGGCCCAGACUCCUACGGGAGGCAGCAGUGGGGAAUUUUGGACAAUGGGCGAAAGCCUGAUCCAGCCAUGCCGCGUGUGUGAAGAAGGUCUUCGGAUUGUAAAGCACUUUAAGUUGGGAGGAAGGGUAGUAACCUAAUACGUUGCUACUUUGACGUUACCGACAGAAUAAGC
rnacentral:rRNA from 1 species